rnacentral:rRNA from 1 species
UACGUAGGGUCCAAGCGUUGUCCGGAUUUAUUGGGCGUAAAGGGCUCGUAGGCGGUUUGUCGCGUCGGGAGUGAAAACCCAGGGCUUAACCCUGGGCUGGCUUUCGAUACGGGCAGACUAGAGGUAUGCAGGGGGAGAACGGAAUUCCUGGUGUAGCGGUGGAAUGCGCAGAUAUCAGGAGGAACACCGGUGGCGAAGGCGGGUCUGCUGGGCAGUGAACUGACGCUGAGGAAGCGAAAGGCGUGGGGAGCGAAC